rnacentral:rRNA from 1 species
GUGGCGAACGGGUGAGUAACACGUGGGCAAUCUGCCCUUCACUCUGGGACAAGCCCUGGAAACGGGGUCUAAUACCGGAUAACACUUCCACUCGCAUGGGUGGGGGUUAAAAGCUCCGGCGGUGAAGGAUGAGCCCGCGGCCUAUCAGCUUGUUGGUGAGGUAAUGGCUCACCAAGGCGACGACGGGUAGCCGGCCUGAGAGGGCGACCGGCCACACUGGGACUGAGACACGGCCCAGACUCCUACGGGAGGCAGCAGUGGGGAAUAUUGCACAAUGGGCGAAAGCCUGAUGCAGCGACGCCGCGUGAGGGAUGACGGCCUUCGGGUUGUAAACCUCUUUCAGCAGGGAAGAAGCGAAAGUGACGGUACCUGCAGAAGAAGCGCCGGCUAACUACGUGCCAGCAGCCGCGGUAAUACGUAGGGCGCAAGCGUUGUCCGGAAUUAUUGGGCGUAAAGAGCUCGUAGGCGGUCUGUCGCGUCGGAUGUGAAAGCCCGGGGCUUAACCCCGGGUCUGCAUUCGAUACGGGCAGACUAGAGUGUGGUAGGGGAGAUCGGAAUUCCUGGUGUAGCGGUGAAAUGCGCAGAUAUCAGGAGGAACACCGGUGGCGAAGGCGGAUCUCUGGGCCAUUACUGACGCUGAGGAGCGAAAGCGUGGGGAGCGAACAGGAUUAGAUACCCUGGUAGUCCACGCCGUAAACGGUGGGAACUAGGUGUUGGCGACAUUCCACGUCGUCGGUGCCGCAGCUAACGCAUUAAGUUCCCCGCCUGGGGGAGUACGG